rfam:Parcubacteria bacterium GW2011_GWA2_42_14 TV01_C0010, whole genome shotgun sequence.
UAAGUGACCCGGGGAGAUCCUAGACAGUCCGAGUCUUAUUAUCUGUUUAGGAAGUCAGCAGGAGUCGUAGUAUCCCGCUUUUAGCGGGAGAAGGAC